CAGUGGUGAAAUCUCCCCGCUCAACGGGGAAACGGCCAUUGAUACUGUAGGACUUGAAUUAUUAGGAAGUAACUAGAAUAUGUAGUGUAGCGGUGAAAUGCUUAGAGAUUACAUGGAAUACCAAUUGCGAAGGCAGGUUACUACUAAUGGAUUGACGCUGAUGGACGAAAGCGUGGGUAGCGAACAGGAUUAGAUACCCUGGUAGUCCACGCCGUAAACGAUGGAUACUAGCUGUUGGGGGCAACUUCAGUGGCUAAGCGAAAGUGAUAAGUAUCCCACCUGGGGAGUACGUUCGCAAGAAUGAAACUCAAAGGAAUUGACGGGGGCCCGCACAAGCGGUGGGGCAUGUGGUUUAAUUCGAUGAUACGCGAGGAACCUUACCAAGGCUUAAAUGUAGAUUGACCGGUUUGGAAACAGACUUUUCGCAAGACAAUUUACAAGGUGCUGCAUGGUUGUCGUCAGCUCGUGCCGUGAGGUGUCAGGUUAAGUCCUAUAACGAGCGCAACCCUCAUUGUAUGUU
rnacentral:rRNA from 1 species